CCCUAGCCCUGAUUGCAGUGGAAAUCCUUUUUUUAUGUCCUUUUUUUGGACAUGAAAAAAGAUUGAAACGGAAAGCAGGAUAAAGC
rnacentral:sRNA from 1 species